AUUGAACGCUGGCGGCAUGCCUUACACAUGCAAGUCGAACGGCAGCACGGGUGCUUGCACCUGGUGGCGAGUGGCGAACGGGUGAGUAAUACAUCGGAACAUGUCCUGUAGUGGGGGAUAGCCCGGCGAAAGCCGGAUUAAUACCGCAUACGAUCUACGGAUGAAAGCGGGGGACCUUCGGGCCUCGCGCUUUAGGGUUGGCCGAUGGCUGAUUAGCUAGUUGGUGGGGUAAAGGCCUACCAAGGCGACGAUCAGUAGCUGGUCUGAGAGGACGACCAGCCACACUGGGACUGAGACACGGCCCAGACUCCUACGGGAGGCAGCAGUGGGGAAUUUUGGACAAUGGGCGAAAGCCUGAUCCAGCAAUGCCGCGUGUGUGAAGAAGGCCUUCGGGUUGUAAAACACUUUUGUCCGGAAAGAAAUCCUUGGCCCUAAUACGGUCGGGGGAUGACGGUACCGGAAGAAUAAGCACCGGCUAACUACGUG
rnacentral:rRNA from 1 species